CGCGUAGGCGGUAAGAUGUGUGUGAUGUGAAAGCCCCGGGCUUAACCUGGGAAGUGCAUCGCAAACUAUCUAACUAGAGUAUAUGAGAGGGUGGCGGAAUUUCCGGUGUAGCGGUGAAAUGCGUAGAGAUCGGAAGGAACGUCAAUGGCGAAGGCAGCCACCUGGCAUAAUACUGACGCUGAGGCGCGAAAGCGUGGGGAGCGAACAGGAUUAGAUACCCUGGUAGUCCACGCUGUAAACGAUGACAACUAGAUGUUGGGAGGGGAACCUUUCAGUAUCGAAGCUAACGCGAUAAGUUGUCCGCCUGGGAAGUACGGCCGCAAGGUUGAA
rnacentral:rRNA from 1 species